rnacentral:lncRNA from 1 species
UAUCAAGGUUAUAUUUAGACAAGACUGCAAUUAAAGAACUGCCUUCGUCAAUUAAUAAACUCACAGGCCUCACUGUUUUGGACCUAUCUCGGUGUCGAGAACUCAAGAGCCUGCCGAGCAGCAUUCAUAUGGGAUCUCUUCAAACCCUUAAUCUUUCUGGUUGCUCAAACCUGGAGCAGUUUCCAGAUAUUUCAGGUGUUAUGGAGAAGCUAUCAGAGCUUUAUUUAAACGAGACUGCAAUUAAAGAACUGCCUUCGUCAAUUAAUAAACUCACAGGCCUCACUGUUUUGGACCUAUCUCGGUGUCGAGAACUCAAGAGCCUGCCGAGCAGCAUUCAUAUGGGAUCUCUUCAAACCCUUAAUCUUUCUGGUUGCUCAAACCUGGAGCAGUUUCCAGAUAUUUCGGGUGUUAUGGAGAAGCUAUCAGAGCUUUAUUUAGACGAGACUGCAAUUAAAGAACUGCCUUCGUCAAUUAAUAAACUCACGAGCCUUACUAUUUUGGUCCUAAGAGGCUGUCGAGAACUCAAGAGCAUGCCAAGCAGCAUUCAUAUGGGAUCUCUUCAAACCCUUAAUCUUUCUGGUUGCUCAAACCUGGAGCAGUUUCCAGAUAUUUCAGGUGUUAUGGAGAAGCUAUCAGAGCUUUAUUUAGACGAGACUGCAAUUAAAGAACUGCCUUCGUCAAUUAAUAAACUCACAGGCCUCACUGUUUUGGACCUAUCUCGGUGUCGAGAACUCAAGAGCCUGCCGAGCAGCAUUCAUAUGGGAUCUCUUCAAACCCUUAAACUUUUUGGUUGCUCAAACUUUGAGAAGUUUCCAGAUAUUUCAGAUGUUAUGGGGAAGCUAUCAAAGCUUUAUUUAGGUGGGACUGCCAUUAAAGAACUGCAUUCGUCAAUUAAUAAACUCACGGGCCUUACUGUUUUGAAC